UACGAGAGGCGCAAACGUUAUUCGGAAUUACUGGGCUUAAAGAGUUCGUAGGCGGCGCAGAAAGUAGGGUGUGAAAGCCCUCGGCUCAACCGAGGAAUUGCGCUCUAAACUACUGUGCUUGAGGGACCUAGAGGUGAGCGGAACUGAUGGUGGAGCGGUGAAAUGCGUUGAUAUCAUCAGGAACACCGGAGGCGAAGGCGGCUCACUGGGGGUCUUCUGACGCUGAGGAACGAAAGCCAGGGGAGCGAACGGG
rnacentral:rRNA from 1 species